rnacentral:rRNA from 1 species
GGAUUAGAUACCCUGGUAGUCCACGCCCUAAACGAUGAAUACUCGAUGUUGGCGAUAUACGGUCAGCGUCUAAGCGAAAGCGUUAAGUAUUCCACCUGGGGAGUACGCCCGCAAGGGUGAAACUCAAAGGAAUUGACGGGGGCCCGCACAAGCGGAGGAGCAUGUGGUUUAAUUCGAUGAUACGCGAGGAACCUUACCCGGGCUUGAAAGUUAGUGAAUAAAGCAGAGACGCUUUAGUCCUUCGGGACACGAAACUAGGUGCUGCAUGGCUGUCGUCAGCUCGUGCC